GCCUCUAUAGCUCAGUGGCAGAGCACUGGUCUUGUAAACCAGGGAUCAAGAGUUGGAUCCUCUCUGGAGACA
rnacentral:tRNA from 1 species